rnacentral:rRNA from 1 species
AGAGUUCGAUCCUGGCUCAGGAUGAACGCUGGCGGCGCGCCUAACACAUGCAAGUCGAACGAUUAAAGCACCUUCGGGUGUGUAUAAAGUGGCGAACGGCUGAGUAACACGUGGGCAACCUGCCCCUCUCAUUGGGAUAGCCACGGGAAACCGUGGAUAAUACCGAAUACUUCGGGACUUCCGCAUGGAAGACUCGAGAAAGCUCCGGCGGAGAGGGAUGGGCCCGCGGCCUGUUAGCUUGUUGGUGGGGUAACGGCCUACCAAGGCAAUGAUGGGUAGCUGGGUUGAGAGACCGACCAGCCAGAUUGGGACUGAGACACGGCCCAGACUCCUACGGGAGGCAGCAGUGGGGAAUCUUGCACAAUGGGCGAAAGCCUGAUGCAGCGACGCCGCGUGCGGGAUGAAGGCCUUCGGGUUGUAAACCGCUUUCAGCAGGGACGAGGCGAAAGUGACGGUACCUGCAGAAGAAGCCCCGGCUAACUACGUGCCAGCAGCCGCGGUAAUACGUAGGGGGCAAGCGUUAUCCGGAUUCAUUGGGCGUAAAGCGCUCGUAGGCGGUCUGUUAGGUCGGGAGUUAAAUCCGGGGGCUCAACCCCCGUUCGCUCCCGAUACCGGCAGACUUGAGUUUGGUAGGGGAAGGUGGAAUUCCUAGUGUAGCGGUGGAAUGCGCAGAUAUUAGGAAGAACACCAGUGGCGAAGGCGGCCUUCUGGGCCAUAACUGACGCUGAGGAGCGAAAGCUAGGGGAGCAAACAGGAUUAGAUACCCUGGUAGUCCUAGCCGUAAACGAUGGACACUAGGUGUGGGGGAAUAUUUCUUCCGUGCCGCAGCUAACGCAUUAAGUGUCCCGCCUGGGGAGUACGGCCGCAAGGCUAAAACUCAAAGGAAUUGACGGGGGCC